rnacentral:lncRNA from 1 species
UCCGAUUGAUUUUUUUGAUUAUUUUAUUCAAAGAUAUUUUGAUUAUUUUAUUAUUAUUUUUCAUUUUUUUGGUUUAACCGUGGUUACAGCGUGUUCGAUCGGUUUGAUUUUGUUUUAACAGUGAUUAAACGAGAUUACAACACAAAUGAUCGAUUGAAAUUCAUUUUAUCAUUUAUUAGGUGAGAAAACGGCUUAAAUAAACGGUAAAAAGC